AUUGAACGCUGGCGGCAGGCCUAACACAUGCAAGUAGAACGAGUGGCGGACGGGUGAGUAAUGUCUGGGAAACUGCCUGAUGGAGGGGGAUAACUACUGGAAACGGUAGCUUAUACCGCAUACCAUCGGAUGUGCCCAGAUGGGAGUAGCUAGUAGGUGGGGUAAAGGCUCACCGAGGCGAAGAUCCCUAGAUGGUCUGAGAGGAUGAACAGCCACACGGGAACUGAGACACGGUCCAGACUCCUCCGUGAGGCAGCAGUGGGGAAUAUUGCACAAUGGGCGCAAGCCUGAUGCAGCCAUGCGGCUUGUAUGAAGAAGGCCUUCGGGUUGUAAAGUACUUUCAGCGGGAAGGCGUUACCCGCAGAAGAAGCAACGGCUAACUCCGUGCCAGCAGCCGCGGUAAUUC
rnacentral:rRNA from 1 species